AGAUGCCUACAACUUAGUGUUAAUGCAUCGGAUCCCAUUAGAACUCCACAGUUAAGCACGCUCAGGCUAGAGUAGUACUGGGAUGGGUGAUCGCUUGGGAAGUCCUAAUAUUUUGCAUGCC
rnacentral:rRNA from 1 species